GCAGUGGUGAUUCAGUGGUAGAAUUCUCACUUCCUGUCUGGGAGACCUGAGUUCGAUCUCCAGCCAGUGCA
rnacentral:tRNA from 1 species